GCAUGUCUAAGUAUAAGCACUUUAUACUGUGAAACUGCGAAUGGCUCAUUAAAUCAGUUAUCGUUUAUUUGAUAGUACCUUACUACAUGGAUACCUGUGGUAAUUCUAGAGCUAAUACAUGCUGAAAACCUCGACUUCGGAAGGGGUGUAUUUAUUAGAUAAAAAACCAAUGCCCUUCGGGGCUCCUUGGUGAAUCAUAAUAACUUAACGAAUCGCAUGGCCUUGCGCCGGCGAUGGUUCAUUCAAAUUUCUGCCCUAUCAACUUUCGAUGGUAGGAUAGUGGCCUACCAUGGUGGCAACGGGUAACGGGGAAUUAGGGUUCGAUUCCGGAGAGGGAGCCUGAGAAACGGCUACCACAUCCAAGGAAGGCAGCAGGCGCGCAAAUUACCCAAUCCCGACACGGGGAGGUAGUGACAAUAAAUACUGAUACGGGGCUCUUUUGGGUCUCGUAAUUGGAAUGAGUACAAUCUAAAUCCCUUAACGAGGAACAAUUGGAGGGCAAGUCUGGUGCCAGCAGCCGCGGUAAUUCCAGCUCCAAUAGCGUAUAUUAAAGUUGUUGCAGUUAAAAAGCUCGUAGUUGAACCUUGGGUCUGGCUGGCCGGUCCGCCUCACCGCGAGUACUGGUCCGGCUGGACCUUUCCUUCUGGGGAAUCUCAUGGCCUUCACUGGCUGUGGGGGGAACCAGGACUUUUACUGUGAAAAAAUUAGAGUGUUCAAAGCAGGCCUUUGCUCGAAUACAUUAGCAUGGAAUAAUAGAAUAGGACGUGCGGUUCUAUUUUGUUGGUUUCUAGGACCGCCGUAAUGAUUAAUAGGGAUAGUCGGGGGCGUCAGUAUUCAGCUGUCAGAGGUGAAAUUCUUGGAUUUGCUGAAGACUAACUACUGCGAAAGCAUUCGCCAAGGAUGUUUUCAUUAAUCAGGAACGAAAGUUAGGGGAUCGAAGACGAUCAGAUACCGUCGUAGUCUUAACCAUAAACUAUGCCGACUAGGGAUCGGACGGUGUUUCUAUUAUGACCCGUUCGGCACCUUACGAGAAAUCAAAGUUUUUGGGUUCUGGGGGGAGUAUGGUCGCAAGGCUGA
rnacentral:rRNA from 1 species